GCCUGUUCAGCCCUAGUAAGAUAUGCUC
rnacentral:piRNA from 1 species